rnacentral:misc_RNA from 1 species
GAUGAAGAACGCAGCGAAAUGCGAUAAGUAAUGUGAAUUGCAGAAUUCAGUGAAUCAUCGAAUCUUUGAACGCACAUUGCGCCCCUUGGUAUUCCGAGGGGCAUGCCUGUUCGAGCGUCAUUUUGACCACUCCCGCUUGCGGGGUCUUGGGCCUUCGCCUCUGGGCGGGCCUUAAAAUCAGUGGCGGUGCCGUCCGGCUCUAAGCGUAGUAAAUCUCCUCGCUAUAGGGUUCCGGAGGGAUGCUGGCCAACAACCCCCAACUUUUAAGGUUGACCUCGGAUCAGGUAGGGAAACCCGCUGAACUUAAGCAUAUCAAUAAGCGGAGGA